GAUGAAGAACGCAGCGAAAUGCGAUAAGUAAUGUGAAUUGCAGAAUUCAGUGAAUCAUCGAAUCUUUGAACGCACAUUGCGCCCGUCAGUAUUCUGGCGGGCAUGCCUGUUCGAGCGUCAUUACGCCCCUCAAGUCCCCUGUGGACUUGGUGUUGGGGAUCGGCGAGGCUGGUUUUCCAGCACAGCCGUCCCUUAAAUUAAUUGGCGGUCUCGCCGUGGCCCUCCUCUGCGCAGUAGUAAAACACUCGCAACAGGAGCCCGGCGCGGUCCACUGCCGUAAAACCCCCCAACUUUUUAUAGUUGACCUCGAAUCAGGUAGGACUACCCGCUGAACUUAAGCAUAUCAAUAAAGCGGAGGA
rnacentral:misc_RNA from 1 species